AGUGAACGCUGGCGGUAGGCCUAACACAUGCAAGUCGAACGGCAGCACAGUAAGAGCUUGCUCUUACGGGUGGCGAGUGGCGGACGGGUGAGGAAUACAUCGGAAUCUACUUUUUCGUGGGGGAUAACGUAGGGAAACUUACGCUAAUACCGCAUACGACCUACGGGUGAAAGCAGGGGAUCUUCGGACCUUGCGCGUUUGAAUGAGCCGAUGUCGGAUUAGCUAGUUGGCGGGGUAAAGGCCCACCAAGGCGACGAUCCGUAGCUGGUCUGGAUGGAUGACCAGCCAGACUGGAACUGAGGCACGGUCAAAACUCCUAGGUGAGGGAGCGUUGGGGAAUAUUGGACAAUGGGCGCAAGCCUGCUCCAGCCAUGCCGCGUGGGUUGAGAAGGCCUUCGGGUUGUAAAGCCCUUUUGUUGGGAAAGAAAAGCAGCAGGUUAAUACCCCGCUGUUCUGACGGUACCCAAAGAAUAAGCACCGGCUAACUUCGUG
rnacentral:rRNA from 1 species